rnacentral:rRNA from 1 species
UACGUAGGGUGCAAGCGUUGUCCGGAAUUAUUGGGCGUAAAGAGCUCGUAGGCGGUUUGUCGCGUCUGCUGUGAAAACCUAAGGCUCAACCUUGGGCUUGCAGUGGGUACGGGCAGACUAGAGUGCGGUAGGGGUGACUGGAAUUCCUGGUGUAGCGGUGAAAUGCGCAGAUAUCAGGAGGAACACCGGUGGCCGAAGGCGGGUCUCUGGGCCGUA